AGGCAAGAAGACGGCAUGACUUUGCAGUCAAUCGCAUUUUGACGGCGCUCGCGAACGGAUCCCCUAAACUUGGAAUACUCAUCCUUGGAUUACACUCAAUAUUGGAUAACUACAUUUUAGUUUAAACGUUUGAAAAUUAAUACAUUUUUUAUAUUUCAUAAUAUUUUUAUAAAUUUAUAAGAAUUUUUUAAAUUAAUUUUAUUAUUUAUUGAGCACUUGGAUUGGAUUUAUUUUCCGUUUUUUGCAUUCAUUUAUAUAUUUAGCACAUAUUUAAUAUGGUUGAGUUUUUUAAUUACUUAUUUUAUUGCACUUUACAGUUCGUUUUGGAUAACUCUUCUGCUUCUGAUUUCAGCGAAUAUCAUUGCAUCAAUAGCAACCCAAUUUCAUCUCAGAGAUCUUUAUCACUUCUAAUUUGCUGUAAUUAGCAAUGGAAACAUUGCAAACAGAUGUAUACCUAAUUUAGUUUGGAGUUUCUGCCUCGUUGAAGGCCUUAAGCAAAUACUCAACCGCCUUCGAGUCGAAAAAAUGAGAUGGUAACAAUUUGCGUGCCAAAUUGUGAACAGAAGAGCCGGCCGCCUCGAAAAGGCAAAAACUGUUUAUGCAUUUUGUGCAGCGAGUGCAACAAAUUUAAUUGUACCGAUAGACAUGCAUUGGCAGUAAAAACCAAAACUAAUAAUACUGGCGAAAAAACAAAAAACGAUGGUAAAAACCUUUGCUAAGUGGCAAUAAAAAUGCACAGCACCAAAAUUUCAACCCAACGACCAUGCAAUGAUAUCAUUUCGAAUCCGCAACGCCCUGCGUGUUGUUAAUUAUGCUCAUUAAUUUUCGCUGCUGUCGCUUGCCGGCAACAACAACCAUAAGCACAGCAACAACAAAAACAACAACAAUAGUUCUUUUAACAACAACAAGGAAAUAUAGACGUUAACCGGCUGAAGAAGGCAAUGCAAAAGAUACUCGGAUACGCAAAACUGCACCCAAACAAACAUCUUUCAUUUCGCCUCAUAAUUUAUUUAAUAUUUCUUUUAUUUCAUUUUCUAUUUUAUUAUAUUUUCGCUACAAAGCGAUUUGUUGCCUUCCCCCACCAAAAAAAAACAUAACUCACGGUGUGCAACUGUGCAUCCAGCAAAGGAAAUUAAUUUUGAAAAAUAACUAUAAUAUAUUUAACUUAAAAUUUUGGCAUAAUUUUUCUGUAGUUUACUUUUGCGCCUUGCAUCUUUUGUAGCCAUUGAUUUAUGAGCUGCAAUCAUAAAAUGCCAUUUGUAGUCUUGAUUUUAAUUGGAGCUUCCAUUUUGUGAUUUUGCAGUAGAGAAAUUUUGCACGAAUAUUUCAAGAAAAUAGCAAAUAAGGAAAAUACCAUUGAUACAUGCCUUGCAUAUAAAAAAAUAACGAUGCAUAUAAAUCUAAUUUAAUUCAAUUUGCCUGCAAAAAUAAUUAAAUCAGUAAUUUAAACUAAAUAAAAUCUGAGUGCUGCUUUAUUACAAUUAUAAAAAGACAAUUCCAUUAGGAAAAGUACGUUACAUAACAUUAAAGGCCCAUAUGAAUUCCCAAGCCGUACUAGAACAAUUGCCCAUUUAACUACAGUUUCAUAAUCAUUUAGAGAAACAUCAGUAUUUAGCAUAUUCAUGAGUGAAAAUUUAAACUCCAAUAUAAAUAUAUAUAAAAGCGGUCUACACAGCCAACUAAAUAGCAAAAGUCAUGCAAGCCAGCUGAAUUUAUACGAAAUUCUAAGUAUGUAUAAAAAUUGUCUAUGCAUAGAUAAACUGUGAAGGAGUACACACCGAAUAAGCCGGCAGAAAACCAUAUCAGGCACGCAUCUCAGGCGGCUGAUGGACAUUUUCGCACACAGACGUAAGAAAACAGGACAUUGGGACAACGAAUGCCCCAAAGGACAUCACUUUGAAUAUAAAGCAAGCGAAUAAAACACAACACAACACAACAGCGAAUGGAAUGGAGUGAAUGGAAUGGACGUGUGGCAUAAAAAACACUUCGGACGGAAGGAGAGAAAAUAAAAAAGAAUUUCUUAUUACAGAUAUUUUGCUUAUCUGCAGCAAAACAUUCGUUCACACUUCCCACAGGACUUCCACUGGCCUUUCAUGUUGGCCAAGGGUGAAACCCAAACCCAGAAUCCCAAGUCCAGAAUCCCGAAUCUCACCCUCCGCCGAGCACACACAUGAAACUUGGAUGGACACAAAUCCGCUUUUAUAUUUUCAACUGUCAAUCGUCGUCGCAAUUUCCCCGUCCUUCGUCCUCCGUCGGCUUCACUUUGUAGGUGUUGGAAUUAUAAUCAAAGUCCAGUGUCCAGUACCACCCCCAACCAAAAAAAAAAAGGAAAACACACACCCAGUUCGCAUUCCUUGCAUUAUCUUGGCUCACACACUCGCAUGCUGUGUCGAACUUUUCCCACUCGAUUUUAUUUCAUUUUAUUCGCUUUUCUUCUUUUUUUGGCCCACAAAUUGUAAAGCGAAAAAAUUCCAACAAAAUUCGUUCUUAAUGCCCUCUUUUCACUUGACUGACAGGCUCCACUUUCUUCUCUUCCCAGCUUCCAUUGAAAACUCCCCUUUCCCUUUCUUGGAAUGGCUGUUUCUUUUCUUUUUGCUUAAAUCUUUCUAAAGUUACAUUUUCCAAAUUACUUUUUUCCUAAAAUAGAUGCUAAUCAAGAUAAGAUCAUGGGCCUUUGAUCUAAAGAGAACUUUAGAAAUACGUUAUAUAUAAAAGAUAGUGGGGAAAUCCCAUUUAAAAUAUAUUUUAAAAGCUAGUUUCUGGACUAUAGUUUAUAUUUCUACAUAUAUUCCUCAAUUUAUAAAUGAAACCAACUCAGAGUAAACAUUCCAAGUACCAAAUUUAUCAAAUUUAUUCAAAUGGCUGCAUAUUUGGGUUUAUGACAGCGCAGCACAUAAAUCCAACAAUGAGCCACUAAGGGUGGUUCGAUGCUAAUGAGCCGCGUCCAGGUCAAAGGUCGGGGGUCGGAUAUGGCGGUAUAUUCCUUGGGAUUUCACCUUUUGUGGUGCGCAGAAAGUUUCGGCCAAAAGCGCCAACAAUGAAUCACUAGCGGAAGCAGAGAGCCACCAAUCCACCAACAACCCACUCGCAGCCUCCAAUGAAGCGUUAGAAGUGCCAAGUUUGCAGAAAGUCCUUGGAUAGCAGGAUAUACUAGGAACGUAUAUCUCCUCCUUGCAUGCAUAAUAAUAACAAUCAUAAAAAUUGCGGGCGAAAUACGAGGGAAGCACAUUAUGCAUACAAUAAUCAUGGUUCAUGGCUUCUUUUGCUGGCAAAAAGUUUUCUGCGGCAUUUGAAUUUAUGACUAAUCAAAUGUAUAUAAUUUUUACUAGCCAAAGAUUUAUGGUUGCUGAUUUGGUGAAAUACAUGACUGGACUUCAGUCCUAUGUAAAACUAGGCUACCCUUAAUUUAAAUGCAAAUGAAGAGCAGAGUGAUUGGGGUUAGCCAGAAGGAAGUUGACAUUGAAGGGUGUUUUGAGUUUAGAAUUUGAAUAUAAUUUUUAAAUGGCGGACUCAAAAAAGGGAUCUUAAUUGCGCAUGUCUUCCCUUUUUUGUGGAGGAACAUAUUAUAAAAUGGCUGAAUAUGGCAUUAAGGAAUUGCACUUUAAUAAAAAAGCACAGAUUUUUAGUGUUUAAAUAACUUAUUAUAUUAUAUUUCAAUAUUUACUUCAUUUAUGUCUUUUUAUGUAUAAUUUUGUACUUUUUUUUUGGGGAAUCCCUCAAGCAAUGCAAGCUAAAAUCUCUUCAUAAUGCACAAGGUCCAGAAAAUAUAUGUACAUCCAAAUGCUUCUAGACGGGGCAAAUAAAAUCGAUUUUGUGUCACUUGCCACGGUGGCAUUUUCCUCUAUGUGUGCAGCCGGCAAAAAGAUAGACUGAACGAGAAAAUACUCUUUGCUCUCGGGGGCUUCCCCUUUUCGGAGGUAAAACUUACUUUUUUGGGGUCUGGGGCAUUGCUUUGCAUGUGCGGGGGUAUGGGACAUACACAUUCGUAAGGGAUUGUAGUUGCUGCCUCGGGCAGGAGUUGAAACAGCUUCCAGACUGUGCGUGCAAGAUAAGAACUGGGAAAAGAGGAAAAGUCUUGCGAAAAACACGACAAAAGGGGCGUCUGCCUCGCAGUUUCCUGCUGCAAGUGUACUUGUGUGUGUGUGUGAGUUCUGUCUGCCCUGCAGCAGGAUAUCCGGUUUGCAAUGUAUUCACACAGACAGUCGGUGGAAUGGGUACUGCGAUUGGUUUCGGCCAUCAGUCGAUUGGAUAGAACGCUAUUAAAUAGCAUUAGCUCGAAAUGUUGCAAAUUAAAAUGUGUCACUGUAGGUAGGUAAAUUAAUUCAGAUAUGUUCAUUUCAAUUAUCAAACUUUUUUCAUAGCACCAAAGAGUUAGUAUAAUAAAGAUAACAUCAAGCUUAAAUAGGUUGUUCGAUUAAAUAUCUUAAAGGGCUUACUGAAAAAGGAUUCUAGCUUUUAUUAUAAAAUAAUAUAUGCACCCAACUAGCUAAUUGCAUCAUUCAAUGUCUCUGAUUUCUAUGUAAAUUUGAUGAUCAAAUUCCAACUGACAAAAAAUAGUAAACAAGAACAUUAGAGGAAUAUAAAAAAUAAUUUAUGUAGCUCGCUUUUAGGCGAAACUAUCAAUUUACAAUGAAGUAAAGAAAGCUUUUUAGACGUAAAGAGCGCAAUUUAGCCAUUGAAUUUUAUGCGCAGGCCAGCGUAAAAAUUACACAAACAAUUACCGAGUGAUGACAUGCUUUUAGUGAUAAUGCUUCAAAUGUCCCCGGAUCUGCUGACCGCAGCAAUACCAAAAAAAAAAAAAUAUAAACUCUCUGGUGGAUGCCGAAAAAACAGGACAUAAAAUCUACAGCUGCAUAAAAGCCUCUUUCGAUUAACAUAAAAUUAGCAUUCCAAUUCAAUUUAUUUUUAUAUACGGCCUGCCAUUUCCCCCCUUUCUGGACAAAUGGGUUGAAGUUAUUUACGCGAUUUCGGCCGCCUUUCCAUUUGCUACCAAACAACAAGAGGCGAGAGCCAAGGCAACAUUUACAUUCGCAAAAUGUGGCUAAAAAAAGAAGAGGGCUAAAUUCAUGGGAAUCCUCGAGUGUGUGUGUGUGUGUGCUUGUGUGUGUGGGAGGGUGCCGGGAAAUGUAAGUGGUCAUAAUAAUAAAAAUAAUGAUGCCAGCAAUAAAGCUGAUUCAAGUCCUCUCGGCGGGAGUCCAGGAGCGAGCUGGUUAUUGGCUCGAUAGGCCUGGAGUGCCGGCGACGAUUUGCGUAAAAAAUGGCAGGGUCCUUGCGCAGAUAAAAAAGCAAACACCAGCAAACGAAAUGGCAAAGGCCGGAAAAGCAGCUCGAAAAGGCCGAGGGGAGAGAGUGGAAUUGGUCAAACGGCAUGGCCAAGGAAAUUUUCCUGCGAAUCAGCGUAUUUUUCAUGCUGCAGCGAUUAUUCACCACUGUGUCGGAAGGAAAGUGCACUGAAAAUAAGGAUAUUGGUAGUUAAUUUAGACAUACCGUCCCACCCACUCAAACCAGCAACCCGUGCGCCUCGUACAUCUCGGUAAAGUGUCAUAAAUUCAUAAUAACGCAAAUAAGCACCGGCACUGGAAGAACGCAAAACUUAUCGGAGGCAUCUAAAUCGGUGGGACCAGCAGCGACGGAAUCGGCUAAAGCCGUGGCCAAAGGCAUCCUGCCAAUAACAACAUCGAUGGGCUCGUCCUGUAUAUACGUUUGUGUAUGGCGGCAAAUACGUUUUUUACGACUUUAUGCUAAGCACUUUUUAUGCAUAAAAAGCAAAAAAAAAAGAAGAAAAAAAUAUCAGCAGGAGGCGCAGGGAAAACAACCACCAAUGGACCGAAGAUGAUGGGAAAACCACCACGCAGACUCCACCGCACCACCAGCAACAGACAUAACCGUUAUUUUCCUCUCGGACGGGUCCUUAUUUAUGCGUUUUUUAGUAUGGAAAGCACAAGGAUACACAUACACGCGCACACACCCAAAGAUAUCCUUUCAGCAUCGCGUAUGUAAAGAACAAGUGCGCUUUUGCCUUUUAUGCCUUGGGUAAUAUAUUGAAAAUAGCUGUCCAGCGUAAUAAAAUGUAUCUUCACUUGAGUGUUUGUGUGCGCAAGGACCUCUCAGUGCCGCUGUGUGUGUGAGCGUUUGUAUGCAUACCAAUAAAACUGCCAAAUGUGAAAAGCAAAAGCAACGGACACAAACAAAACUCAAUUUGCUUACUCAGUCACAGUGGUCACAGACGCAGAAUUACAAUUUAUUACAAUAAUGUAUUUAUUUGUACACUCUGAACAUUUUAAUGAAUUUUUAUAAAAUAUAUUUCAAAAUUGAUUUUAUUCAAACUAUCUUAAGUAACAAAUGUACAUUUAAAAAUACAAAAUAUAUUAUUUUUAUUCAAUGAUUA